rnacentral:tRNA from 1 species
GGUACCUUGGCCGAGUGGUGAGGCACCAGUCUGCAAAACUGGGUACUGCAGUUCGAUUCUGCAAGGUACCU